ACCAGACUCCUACGGGAGGCAGCAGUGGGGAAUAUUGCACAAUGGGGGAAACCCUGAUGCAGCGACGCCGCGUGAGCGAUGAAGUAUUUCGGUAUGUAAAGCUCUAUCAGCAGGGAAGAAAAUGACGGUACCUGACUAAGAAGCCCCGGCUAACUACGUGCCAGCAGCCGCGGUAAUACGUAGGGGGCAAGCGUUAUCCGGAAUCACUGGGUGUAAAGGGAGCGUAGACGGCUGUGCAAGCCUGAAGUGAAAGGCGGGGGCCCAACCCCUGGACUGCAUUUGGAACUGUGUGGCUGGAGUGUCGGAGAGGCAGGCAGAAUUCCUAGUGUAGCGGUGAAAUGCGUAGAUAUUAGGAGGAACACCAGUGGCGAAGGCGGCCUGCUGGACGAUGACUGACGUUGAGGCUCGAAAGCGUGGGGAGCAAACAGGAUUAGAUACCCCGGUA
rnacentral:rRNA from 1 species